UCAAGCAGGUAAGAAUAUUCAAAGGUCUCUCUCUAACGCCCCUCUUUCGUCUCCCUGUCUCGGUAUGUCUGCUCCCGCUGCUGCGCCGAAACACCCGGGCAAGGUGUUCCUGGACCCGUGUGAGGUAAAGGACCACCUUGCCGAGUACCGCAUCGUGGACUGCCGGUACAGCUUGAAGGUAAAGGACCACGGCAGCAUUGAGUACGCGAAGGAGCACGUGAAGAGCGCCAUCCGCGCCGAUAUGGAUACGAACCUCUCCAAGUUGGUGCCCACCAGCACCGCCCGGCACCCGCUACCGCCCUGUGCUGAGUUUAUCGAAUGGUGCAUGGCGAACGGGAUGGCGGGAGAGCUGCCGGUGCUCUGCUACGAUGACGAGUGCGGCGCCAUGGGUGGAUGCCGCCUGUGGUGGAUGCUGAACUCUCUUGGCGCCGAGGCGUACGUGAUCAACGGCGGCUUUCAGGCCUGCAAGGCUGCGGGGCUGGAGAUGGAGUCAGGCGAGCCCCCGUCGCCGCCGACGCCCCCUACGCACUGGCCCUUCAAGACGGCCUUUCAGCAUCACUAUCUCGUGGAUGAGAUCCCGCCCAACGCGAUCAUCACCGACGCGCGCUCCGCCGACCGCUUCGCCUCGACAGUACGGCCUUACGCCGCAGACAAGAUGCCAGGCCACAUCGAAGGCGCGCGUAACCUCCCCUACACGUCGCACCUCGUGAUACGCGGUGACGGCAAGGUGCUGCGCAGUGAGGAGGAGAUCCGCCACAACAUCAUGACCGUCGUGCAGGGCACGGGUGACGCGACUGAUCUGUCGAGCUUCGUCUUCUCCUGCGGCAGCGGCGUCACCGCCUGCAUCAAUAUCGCCCUGGUGCACCACCUCGGCCUGGGCCAUCCGUACCUCUACUGUGGCUCCUGGUCUGAGUAUAGCGGCCUCUUCCGCCUCCCCAUAAUGCGCAGCAUCAUCGACGACUACGGCAUGUGCAUGCAAAUGCAGACCCCUAGCCUCGGCGACAACCCGAAGGCAAACCUCGACACCAUGACUCUGAAGGUCGACGGCGCGCCCUGCGAGAGACCCGAUGCGGAGGUGCAGAGCGCCGCAGCCCACCUCCACGCUGGCGAGGCCGCUACUGUGUACUUCAAAAGCGGCCGCGUCGUCACGAUCGAGGUGCCGGCAGUGCCCAACUAAGCGCGGCGUGGGCCCAGCAGCGCCUGACCAUGGGAGAUAACGCGCGGCGAGGAAGGCGAAGAGGUGUGGUGCACCAGCGGUGUAUUUGCGCACGCCUCUGUGUGUGCAUCCGCCCGGGUGAACUCCCCUCCUCGCUUAUACCCCUACAGCGACCCCACCCCCCCCAGCGCACGCAAGCACCCGGCUACUCGAAAGUGCUAGCGGGCAUUGCGUGUGUCUACCCGCUGAUGGGGUGACUUCAAGCACAAAAAAGCACAGAGGCACUUGUAGCGCAUGACCCGUCAGCCAUCGCCACCAUGGCGAGCCCCGAAC
rnacentral:misc_RNA from 1 species